rnacentral:rRNA from 1 species
AGGAUUAACGCUGGCGGCGUGCAUGAAACAUGCAAGUCGAGCGCGGUGUGAUGCGGGGUAACCCAAUUCACAUCUAGCGGCGAACGGGUGAGUAACACGUGAGCAACCUACCUUUGAGUUGGGGAUAGCCCUGGGAAACCAGGAUUAAUACCCGAUGUGGUCACAACAGGACAUCCUGAUGUGAGUAAAGGCGCAAGCCGCUCAAUGACGGGCUCGCGGCCUAUUAGCUUGUUGGUGGGGUAACGGCCUACCAAGGCGAUGAUGGGUAGCUGGUCUGAGAGGACGAUCAGCCACACUGGGACUGAGACACGGCCCAGACUCCUACGGGAGGCAGCAGUUAGGAAUUUUCCGCAAUGGGCGAAAGCCUGACGGAGCAACGCCGCGUGAGUGAUGAAGACCUUAGGGUUGUAAAGCUCUGUCGGAGGGGAAGAACACAAUGACGGUACCCUCCAAGAAACGCCCCGGCUAACUACGCGCCAGCAGCCGCGGUAAU